AUUGAACGCUGGCGGCAGGCCUAACACAUGCAAGUCGAACGAGUGGCGGACGGGUGAGUAAUGUCUGGGAAACUGCCUGAUGGAGGGGGAUAACUACUGGAAACGGUAGCUAAUACCGCAUACCAUCAGAUGUGCCCAGAGGGGAUUAGCUAGUUGGUGGGGUAACGGCUCACCAAGGCGAAGAUCCCUAGCUGGUCUGAGAGGAUGACCAGCCACACUGGGACUGAGACCCGGUCCAGACGCCUAUGGGAUGCAGCAGUGUGGAAUAUUGCACAAUGGGCGCAAGCCUGAUGCAGCCAUGCCGCGUGUAUGAAGAAGGCCUUCGGGUUGUAAAGUACUUUCAGCGGGGAGGCGUUACCCGCAGAAGAAGCACCGGCUAACUCCGUGCCAGCCGCCGCGGUAAUAC
rnacentral:rRNA from 1 species